rnacentral:rRNA from 1 species
GACGGGCCGUCGUGGUAUCAGCUUGUUGGCGGGGUAAUGGCCCACCAAGGCUAUGACGCCUACCGGGCGUGCGAGCGUGGCCCGGCACACUGGGACUGAGACACUGCCCAGACUCCUACGGGAGGCUGCAGUCGAGAAUCUUCGGCAAUGGGCGCAAGCCUGACCGAGCGACGCCGCGUGGAGGACGAAGGCCUUCGGGUUGUAAACUCCUGUCGAGGGGGAAGAAGGGCCUUAAAACCUUGACUGAUCCCUGGAGGAAGCACGGGCUAAGUUCGUGCCAGCAGCCGCGGUAAGACGAACCGUGCGAACGUUAUUCGGAAUCACUGGGCUUAAAGCGCGUGUAGGCGGCCCGGAACGUCCGUCGCUGAAAUCCCCCGGCUCAACCGGGGAAGGGGCGUGGAUACGACCGGGCUGGAGGGGGGUAGGGGGGACGGGAACUCACGGUGGAGCGGUGAAAUGCGUUGAGAUCGUGAGG